GCAUAUCAAUAAGCGGAGGAAAAGAAACCAACAGGGAUUGCCUCAGUAACGGCGAGUGAAGCGGCAACAGCUCAAAUUUGAAAUCUGGCCUCUUCGGGGCCCGAGUUGUAAUUUGUAGAGGAUGUUUCGGGUACCGCCUCGGUUUAAAUUUCUUGGAACAGAAUGUCAUAGAGGGUGAGAAUCCCGUCUUGGACCGGCGGUAGGGCCCAUGUGAAACUCCUUCGACGAGUCGAGUUGUUUGGGAAUGCAGCUCAAAAUGGGUGGUAAAUUUCAUCUAAAGCUAAAUAUUGGCCAGAGACCGAUAGCGCACAAGUAGAGUGAUCGAAAGAUGAAAAGAACUUUGAAAAGAGAGUUAAACAGUAUGUGAAAUUGUUGAAAGGGAAGCGCUGGCAACCAGACUUGAGCGCGGCGGUUCCCCCUUCCUUUUGGUUGGGUUACUCCGCCGUGUCCAGGCCAACAUCGGUUCUGGGGGUCGGUCAAAGGCCCGGGGAAUGUAUCUACUCCUUCGGGGGUAGACUUAUAGCCCCGGGUGUCAUGCGACCACCCGGGACCGAGGAACGCGCUUCGGCUCGGAUGUUGGCGUAAUGGUUGUCAGCGACCCGUCUUGAAACACGGACCAAGGAGUCUAACAUCUAUGCGAGUGUUUGGGUGUCAAACCCGGAACGCGGAAUGAAAGUGAACGGAGGUAGGAAGCCUUUGGGCUGCACUAUCGACCGAUCCUGAUGUCUUCGGAUGGAUUUGAGUAAGAGCAUAGCUGUUGGGACCCGAAAGAUGGUGAACUAUGCCUGAAUAGGGUGAAGCCAGAGGAAACUCUGGUGGAGGCUCGCAGCGGUUCUGACGUGCAAAUCGAUCGUCAAAUUUGGGUAUAGGGGCGAAAGACUAAUCGAACCAUCUGGUAGCUGGUUCCUGCGA
rnacentral:rRNA from 1 species